AGUGAACGCUGGCGGCAGGCCUAACACAUGCAAGUCGAGCGGCAGCGGGGUUCCCGCGAGGGGAUGCCGGCGAGCGGCGGACGGGUGAGGAACACAUCGGAAUCUGCCUGGUUGUGGGGGAUAACGUAGGGAAACUUACGCUAAUACCGCAUGCGACCCUGAGUCGACGGACUGGGGGUGAAAGUGAGGGACCUUCGGGCCUCACGCGACCAGAUGAGCCGAUGUCGGAUAGCUAGUUGGCGGGGUAACGGCCCGCCAAGGCGACGAUCCGUAGCUGGUCUGAGAGGAUGAUCAGCCACACUGGGACUGAGACACGGCCCAGACUCCUACGGGAGGCAGCAGUGGGGAAUCUUGGACAAUGGGCGCAAGCCUGAUCCAGCCAUG
rnacentral:rRNA from 1 species